UGGGGACACGAAUGGGAUAAACAUGGCACCUGCUCCUCCGAGUCACUUGUUGAUCAGCAUGCUUAUUUUAAAGCUGCUCUUGACCUCAAAAACAAAGCUAAUCUCCUCCAAGCCCUUGACAAUGCAGGUAAUAUUAGUUUACUUAUUAANNNNNNNNNNNNNNNNNNNNNNNNNNNNNNNNNNNNNNNNNNNNNNNNNNNNNNNNNNNNNNNNNNNNNNNNNNNNNNNNNNNNNNNNNNNNNNNNNNNNCAGGAAUUAAACCAGCUAAUGGGAAAUAUUACAGCUUAGAGAGCAUCAAAGAGGCGAUUAAAGAAUCAACCGGGUAUACCCCAUUUAUAGAGUGCAACGUUGAUUCAUCAAGAAACCCGCAGCUUUACCAAGUGUACAUGUGUGUGGGCAAAUCUGGAUCAGAAUUCAUCAAAUGCCCUGUUUUUCCUCACGGAAGACCAUGUGCUUCUCAAAUUCAAUUCCCUUCUUUCUCACAAACCACCAACUCGCAUGAUCAAGAACUUUGAUCACAUUCACAUCCAUUAUAUAUAUAUGAAUUCAGCUAGAGGUUUAUUGUAUUUAAUUUACUUGAUUUGAUUUUGGUAAUAAAAGUACGUACGUGGAUGUACAAAUUACAAUUGUACGUGUUUCAUUAUUUAAUUCAGUUGUUAAGUCUUGUUUAGGCAAAGCUUGUUCAGAAGAAGAAUUAUAUAGAUCGAGUUCAAGUUCAGCUCAUUUAUUAUAUAUACUACUGGAAAUGAACUUAAAAUUGUGCUCCAAUUCAACCUCCUCUCGCAAAUGAAUGACACGUGAUUUUUCAAUUUAUUUUUUCUCAAAUGAUUCAAUGCCUUCUGUAAGUUGUGACUUAAUAACAUAUACACAUGCAUGCAUGCAUAUUAGUCUAUCCAAAACUUAGUGUAUUGAAUAAGUAGUAUUAUCUACCUUAUUUAACGGAUCCGAUGCAAUGAUUAAUACAAUAAAAAAUAAUAGUAAAAUGUAUUGAUGAUAAGUUAUAUUGGAUUCCUAUUUAACUAUUUCAAUUUGGACACUAUUAGUACUAGAAUAUCCCAUGGACAAGAUGCAUAGUGAUCCAAAAAAAGCUUUCUAUUACACCUUCUGUGUGCAAUUUAUCGAUCACUGUCCGUCCAGGGGCUCCACCACUUGAUCUAUUUUCAUAUUAUUUGACUUUUGUGCUACGUACGCUAGUAGACAGUUGUAGUAUAUUAAAAUAUCAAUACAUCCAGAUUUCUUUAUUGUAUUUAUUGUCAAUCGCCCAAUGCAUAGCCCACCAACUUUUACCAAGGAUUAAUUAAUUAGUACGUACUCUAUCAAUCAUACAUAUUUAAAAAGUAAAAAAAUUAAUUUUAAUGUUUUUAAUAGUCCCACAAAAUUUAUAAAAUAAUAAGUAAUUUUGUUUUUUUUCUAUUAAUAAAUCUAUAUAAUUACAUUUUAUAUAUUUUAUCUCUUUUUUUAAAAAAUAAUAAUUAUACUUUUAAUUUUCCUUUAAAGAUUGAGAAAUUUUGAAACAAUAACUCGCUGUAUUCAAGUCGGGCAGAAAUUACAAAUGGGGAGCUGAGAUCAUGGGCCUCCACGCAAACUAUGGAUUUUUAAAAUAAAAAACAAAAACAAAAUAAAGGGUAUACUUUAGAGGAUAUGCCUUUUUGUUUUAUUUGUGGCUGGUCUGGCUAUAAGACCACACCACACUCACCAGUAUAUUGCAAGUAAUCGCCUUUAAAACAAAAGAAAAAAGUAGGGUCUCCAACAAGAGAGGGAGGGAAAGAAGAAAUGAGAUCAUAUUUUAGUUACAAGGGGUCAAUAUGGAUCAAAGUAUUGGUGAUACAAUGGCUGACACUUGUUUGUGUUUCCAGAGAUUUUGAUUUCUACUAUUUUGUUCAGCAGGUCCCUCCCCUCACCUCACCUCCUCCAUAUAUAUAUAUAUAUAUAUAUAUAUAUAUAUAUAUAUAUAUAUAAAUUCAUUCUUUCUCUACAUAUGAACUAACUAACUAGGCCCUGGCGCAGGCAUCUAUCUAUCUAUGCUAUGCCAUGCUAAUCUUCUAUUAAUAAUCAUAUGUGCAGUGGCCGGUCUCAUACUGUGAUACCAAGAAAAGUUGCUGCUACCCGACAACAGGGAAGCCAGCUGAAGACUUUGGGAUUCAUGGGUUUUGGCCUAAUUACAUCGAUGGCUCUUAUCCUUCUAACUGUGAUUCUCGCAACACAUUCGAUGCUUCUCAGGUAUUAAAUUCCAUUAUUCUCCAUCAUCAUCAUCGUCUCUCUCCCAUCAUGAUGUUAUAUUUCAACACAUUUUAAAUCUGGACCCAUCAAUAAAUUAGAGACUCUCCAAUUCAUUUGAAAUGGAGACGAUCCUAAUUCUUCCGGGUAUAUAUUAGUUAUAUCUCUUUAUAUAUUAGUUCUUAAUUAGUUAUUAUUACUGGCUAGCUAGCUAGCUAGUAAGUAAGUU
rnacentral:lncRNA from 1 species